GUGGUAGUAGCUCAGCCCGGUUAGAGCCCCAGAUUGUGGAUCUGGCUGUCGCGGGUUCAAAUCCCGUCUACCACCCCA
rnacentral:tRNA from 1 species